rnacentral:rRNA from 1 species
UACGUAGGGUGCGAGCGUUAAUCGGAAUUACUGGGCGUAAAGAGCGCGCAGGCGGUCGUUCAAGUCGAGUGUGAAAGCCCCCGGCUCAACUGGGGAGGGUCAUUCGAUACUGAUCGACUCGAAGGCAGGAGAGGGAAGUGGAAUUCCCGGUGUAGUGGUGAAAUGCGUAGAUAUCGGGAGGAACACCAGUGGCGAAGGCGACUUCCUGGCCUGUUCUUGACGCUGAGGCGCGAAAGCUAGGGGAGCAAACGGG